GAAGGGGCUAGCGUUGUUCGGAAUCACUGGGCGUAAAGCGCACGUAGGCGGAUCUUUAAGUCAGGGGUGAAAUCCGAGGCUCAACCUCGGAACUGCCUUUGAUACUGGGAUCUCGAGUCCGGGAGAGGUGAGUGGAACUGCGAGUGUAGAGGUGAAAUUCGUAGAUAUUCGCAAGAACACCAGUGGCGAAGGCGGACUCACUGGCCCGGAACUGACGCUGAGGUGCGAAAGCG
rnacentral:rRNA from 1 species